CAUUAACCUCUUUCUUCUCUCACCUCACCUGUGCACCAUUUGUAGGCCCUCCACAGAGGUUCUACGUUUUUCAUCACACACUUUGUUGCAUGUCCAUAGAAUGUACCUAUAUUUUACAACUUUCAGCAAUGGAUCUCUUGGCUCUCGCAUCGAUGAAGAAYGCAGCGAAUCGCGAUAAGUAAUGUGAAUUGCAGAUUUUCAGUGAAUCAUCGAAUCUUUGAACGCACCUUGCGCUCCUUGGUAUUCCGAGGAGCAUGCCUGUUUGAGUGUCAAUUCGUAUUAUCAAUCCGAUCAUGGUCGGCUUGGAGUUGGGGGUUGCUGGCCUUACCAGGUCAGCUCCUCUGAAAUGUAUUAGCGAACAGAACGGAUGCACGGCCUCUAGACGUGAUAAUGAUCGUCUGGGCUGGAGUCUAGAAGUUUGCAAGCUUAGUUACUAGUCUUUCGACGAACACAAGCAAGCGAAGCAAGUGGCUAAAUGAAGUCCCCCUUGGUUACUAGUUGUACGACGAACACAAGCACACGAUCGUGGCAAGCCAAAGGCUACAUGGAGUCCCAAGCUAUAUGGCAGAAAGGCUACAUGAAGUCCCCAAAGCUAGCAAGCUUAGUUACUAGUCUUUCAAUGAACACAAGCAUGGCUAAAAUGAAGCCUCUAGCUAAGCAAGCUUAGUUACUAGUCUUUCGAUGAACACAAGCACACGAGAUUUAAACUUGUGGCAAAGUGAAUGGCUAAAUGAAGUCCCCAGAGCUAGCAAGCUUAGUUACUAGUUGUAUGGUGAACACAAGCACAAGCCAAAAGGGUUACAUGGAGUCUCAAGCUAUACAAGCUUAGUUACUAGUCUUUCGACGAACACAAGCACACGAUGUGGUAUGGCAGAAAGGCUACAUAAAGUCCCCAAAGCUAGCAAGCUAUUCAACAAACACAGGCAUGCAAGCCAAAGGCUACAUGAAGCCCCUAGCUAAGCAAGCUUAGUUAAAUGAGCUUAGUUACUAGUCGUACGACAAACGCAAGCACACUAUACAAGCUUAGUUACUAGUCUUUUGACGAACACAAGCACACAAUGUGGUAUAGUCCUAGUUACUAGUCGUACGACAAACGCAAGCAUUACUUUAGCUAAGCACACAAGAUUUAUGAUGCAUGAAUGACCU
rnacentral:rRNA from 1 species